UUUUUUGUUUUUAAUUAUUUAAUGAAUUUUAUUACAUUUAUGGGUGUAUAACAAUCAUCACAACCAAAUUUUAUCGCAUUUCCAUCCCAAACUCUCAGUACAUCCCCCCACCCUCCAACCUGUCUCAUUUGGAAACCAUAAGUUUUUCAAAGUCUUUGAGUCAGUAUCAGUUCUGCAAAGAAGUUCAUUGCGUCCAUUUUUUAGAGUCCACAUGUAAGUGAUAGCAUAUGAUGUUGGUGUCUCAUUGUCUGACUUUACUUAGCAUGAUAAUUUCUAGGUCCAUCCAUAUUGCUAAAAAUGCUGUUAUUUCAUUCCUUUUAAUGGCUGGGUAAUAUUCCAUUGGGUAUAUGUCCCACAUCUUCUUUAGCCACUCCUCUGUUGGUGGACAUUUAGGCUGUUUCCAUGUCUUGGCUAUUGCAAAUAGUGCUGCAAUGAACACUGGAGUACAUGUGUCUUUUGAAGUCAUGGUUUUCUCUGGAUAGAUGCCAGGAGAGGGAUUGCUGGAUGAAAUAUAAUUCUAUUUUUAGUUUUCUGAGGAAUCUCCUUAGUGCUUUCCACAGUGGUUGCACCAAUUUACAUUCCCACCAACAGUGAAAUACGGUUCCUUUUUCUCCACACCCUCUCCACCGCUUAUUGCUUGUAGACUUUUUGAUGAUGGCCAUUCUGGCUGGUGUAAGGUGGCACCUCAUAGUGGUUUUGAUUUGCAUUUCUCUAAUAAUGAGUGAUGUUGGACAUCCUUUCAUAUGUUUCUUGGCCAUUUGUAUGUCUUCUUUGGAGCAUUGUCUGUUUAGAUCUUCUGCCCAUUUUUUGAUGGGGUUGUUUGUUUUUUUGGUAUUGAGCUGUAGGAGGUGUUUAUAAAUUUUGCAGAUUAAUCCCUUGUCAGUAGAUUCAUUUGCAAAGAUUUUGUCCCAUUCUGUGGGUUGUCUUUUUGUUUUGUUUAGGGUUUCCUUUGCUGUGCAGAAACUUUGAAGUUUAAUUAAGUCCCAUUUGUUUAUUUUUGUUUUAAGUGUCAUUACUCUAAGAGGUGGAUUUGAGAAGAUGUUGCUGUCAUUUAUGUUGGAGAGUGUUUGCCCUCUGUUUUCCUCUAAGAGUGUUAUAGUAUCUGGUCUUAUACCUAGGUCUUUAAUCCAUUUUGAGUUUAUUUUUGUGCAUGAGGGUGUUAGGAAGUGUUUUAAUUUCAUUCUUUUGCAUGUAGCUGUCCAGUUUUCCCAGCACCACUUAUUGAGCAGACUGUCUUUUCUCCAUUGUAUAUUCUUGCCUUCUUUAUCAUAGAUUAGUUGACUGUAGGUGCAUGGGUUUAAUUCUGGGCUUUCUAUCCUGUUCCACUGGUCUAUAUUACUGUUUUUGUGCCAGUACCAUAUGGUUUUGAUGACUGUAGCUUUGUAGUAUAGUCUGAGGUCAGGGAGCCUGAUUCCUCCAGCUUCAUUUUUCUUUUUCAGGAUGUCUGUGGCUACUCUGUGUCUUUUGUGAUUCCAAACAAACUUUAAAAUAUUUUGUUCAAGUUCUGUGAAAAAUGUCUAUAGGAUUGGUUCUGAUUGUAUUAUUACUGUAAAUAGGAGCACUGAUAGCUCUUGUUUUGGACUACCUUUUCAAAGAUAUUUGUGUAAUGAACAGCCUUGAAAGACACAGAGAAUGUCUCCCUCCAUAGCAAAGGGCAGCUUUGUUUGCUGCCUAUUAUUACAAAGAUCAUGUCUCCCUUUGGGACAAAGGACAAAUGUGUUUGUAAUGCAUUAUAAAAGACUGGAUUCCCUAAGUUUAGGAUCCCUCUACUAUAAUACAACCCACUAUGUGUAUAGGUAUCACCUGACUACUUGUCAUAUUGUCCUGUGGGAACUGGGGUAUGGGGAACUGACACAAAAUGAUGAUUAGCUAUUUUUAUUUCUGCAACUAAUAAACCAUUAUUUGUCUUUGACCCAGGAAUCAUGUCUUCUACCAGCAUUCUUGGGGAACACAAAGAAUCUGAGAAACCUAUCAGAAAAUAGCAACUAAGUGGAAGAGAAAAUAAGGAUCAGCAGAGGGUUUUGCAGCUUCAAGAAGCUAGGGAAACAUAAAUUAUGGUUCAGAGCUACAAAGGCAGUCAGAACCUCAAGGAAUGACAUCUAAAAAAGAAAGGAAGCUUAGAGAUGUGAGCCCAAUAGUUUAAGCCAUUUUUCUUCCCAAGGCAUUCACUAAUCCAUAAAUGUGCAGGUCAAGAGACAGAAAAAUCAGAAAAUAAUAUAGUUUCAAAGAGAUGAGAAGAUAAGAAGAGUUUUAAGUAGUCUCACAGGAGUAGGUAAAUAAAAACUUGAAUUCAUGGUUUGCCUAAAAGAAAAGAUCUUGAUAAAGAUUCCAGAUUUUCAGCUAGUACUCCUACAAAACUCAACCUUAGAAGUAAGGAUGGGAGUUCCCGUCGUGGCGCAGUGGUUAACGAAUCCGACUAGGAAUCAUGAGGUUGCGGGUUCGGUCCCUGCCCUUGCUCAGUGGGUUAACAAUCCGGCGUUGCCGUGAGCUGUGGUGUAGGUUGCAGACGCGGCUCGGAUUCCACAUUGCUGUGGCUCUGGCGUAGGCUGGUGGCUACAACUCCGAUUCAACCCCUAGCCUGGGAACCUCCAUAUGCCAUGGGAGCGGCCCAAGAAAUAGCAACAACAACAACAACAACGACAAAAAAAAAAGACAAAAAAAAAAAGAAGUAAGGAUGAAGUGGAAAUAAGCUGAACUUCCAAGGCUACAAUCUAAACCUUAAUCAUCCCAAUAACAUACUAACAUUAUAUAGUCAAAGCAAUCUGAUCCUACUCUAAAUAUCAACCAGAAUCUCAAAAAACUCCCUCUGGAAAUCAUCCAGAAACUCUGUGAUUUUUAAUACCAAGCGUAAGGGUCAAAAAUUUAAAAUAUGUCAAAUAAUCAAAUGCAAUUUAUAGAACUUAGAAAUUAAGGAAAUAAAAUUAGUAAUGUCAUGAAUGGGUUUAUCAAAAGAUUAGAUAUAACUAAAAAGAAGGACUUGUGAUCUGGAAAAUAAGUUAAUAAAAAUAUUCAGAUUAGAAAGAAAAAAUAAAAUAGAAAAAAAGCCUUAAGAUGUUGAAAACAUUUACUGUAUCUGUAAUUGGUGUAUUAGAGAAGAGAGAAAGAGAGCAGGGAAGAAGUAAUGUUCAAAAAGAUCAUUAUCAAGAAUUUUCUAAAACUGAAAAAAGAGAUAAACUCUGAUUUGCAAGUAGGAUAAAUACAAAGAAUAACACACCUCAGGACAUCAUAGUAAACCUCUAUUAAAAAAGAGAGAGAGAAAAUUUUAUUCUUAUUUCAGCAGGCAAAAACAGACAUUAUCUUCAAAGAAGCAAGAGUAAAACUGACAACUGUCUCUCAUGCAGAAACAAUGGAAGUCAUAAAACAAUGGAAUGACCACUGCUAUGUGCUGAAAGAAAAUAAUUGCCAACAGUUAUGGACUAUAUUUUGUGCUGUCCCCAAAAAAAGAAAAAAUCCCACACUGAAGGCCUAACCUCUAGCAUGACUAUAUUUGGAGAAAGAGCCUUUGUGGAAGUAAUUACGGUCAAAUGAAGUUAUAAGGGUGACCCUUAUCUAAUAGGACUAGUACCCUAAGAAGCAAAGAAAAACAUCAGAGAGCUCUCUCUUUGCACGCACACACACACACACACACAAACACAAACACACACAAAUAAGGUCAAAUUAAGUCAUAAGGGUGACCCUAAUCUAAUAGGACUAGUGUCCUAAUAAGCAAAGGAAAAGACAUAAAAGAGUUCUCUCUUUCCACACAUGUACAUAUAAGUAAGGCCAUCUGAGGAAACAGGAUGAAGGUAACAAUCUGCAAGCCAGUAAGAAAUUCCUCACCAGAAACCAACUCUGGUGGCACUUUGAUCAUGGACUGGCCUCUACAACUAUCAGAAAAUACCUGACUAAUACACCAACCUAAAAUUCUACACCCAGCAAAAAUUUCCUACAAAAAUAAAAGUGAAAAAGACAUUUCUAGAUAGACAUAAAUGACAGAAUUCAUCAGGAAAAGGCCCAUACUCAAAGAAUCACUAAAUGGAGUUCUCUAGGAUGAAGAUAUAUUAUAUAAUCAGAAACACAGAAAUGCAAGAACUAAAGAACAACAGAAAAAGUAAAUAUGUGGAAAAUGUUAAAUACAUACCGAUUGCAGAAAACAAUCACAGUCUCAUGGGGCCCCAAAUAUGUGCAGAAUUAAAAUACAUGAAAAUAAUAACAAAAAAGGUAGGAGUUGAAUAAAUGAAGUUAAAGAAUUAGAGUAGUGAUAAAAAUACUAAUUUAUAUCAAAUAUGUUCAUAUCUAGAGUAACCAGUAGAAAAAAUAGGAAAAUACUUAUAACCAAGAAGUAACUAGGGGGAGGAAUGCGAUUAAAAAAAAAAACAACAACACUUGAUUACUCUAAGUAAAGGGAAGGAGAGGAAAGCAAACUGUGGAAGAUAUACCAUUCCAUAAAGUAUAUCUCAAUGCAUUUUUAAGAAUAGAAAUCAUAUAAUUAUGUUCUCUUGGCCAUAUUGUAAUGAAGCAAACAAUUAACAACCAAAAAGUUACUAGAAAAUUCCAAAAUGUCGAGAAGUUAAGCAACACAUUUAGAUAAAUAAAUCAUGAGUCAACUUUCAAGGAAAAUUAGAAAACAGUUUGAACUGAGAUAUUUCAUAUAAAUUAAACGCAUUAAAAAGUGAGACAAUAAUUAACUAGAGUAGUUGUCAAUAAACUUCUCCUACAGAGGGCCAGAGAAUAAAUAUUCUAAGCUUUUCAUACCAUAUAGUAUCUGUCAUAACUACUCAGUUCCGUUGUUACAGCACAAAAAAAUAUGUAAGUGAAUGAGUAUGACUAUGUUCAAAUAAAAUUGUAUUUUUUUAAAAAGGUGACAGGAUUGAUUUGGCCUACUUUACUGACCCCUAAACCAGAAGAAAAACUAAAUGAAUGAGAAGAAUAUAAAUAGAGUACACUGAUUAGCUUAGCAGUGUACUAU
ensembl:lncRNA